rnacentral:tRNA from 1 species
GCCGGUGUGGCGGAAUGGCAGACGCGACGCACUCAAAAUGCGUUGUCCGUGAGGGCAUGUGGGUUCGAGUCCCACCACCGGUACCG